GAUGAAGCCCAGCUUGCUGGGUGGAUUAGUGGCGAACGGGUGAGUAACACGUGAGUAACCUGCCCUUAACUCUGGGAUAAGCCUGGGAAACUGGGUCUAAUACCGGAUAGGAGCGCCUACCGCAUGGUGGGUGUUGGAAAGAUUUAUCGGUUUUGGAUGGACUCGCGGCCUAUCAGCUUGUUGGUGAGGUAAUGGCUCACCAAGGCGACGACGGGUAGCCGGCCUGAGAGGGUGACCGGCCACACUGGGACUGAAACACGGCCCAAACUCCUACGGGAGGCAGCAGUGGGGAAUAUUGCACAAUGGGCGCAAGCCUGAUGCAGCGACGCCGCGUGAGGGAUGACGGCCUUCGGGUUGUAAACCUCUUUCAGUAGGGAAGAAGCGAAAGUGACGGUACCUGCAGAAGAAGCACCGGCUAACUACGUGCCAGCAGCCGCGGUAAUACGUAGGGUGCGAGCGUUAUCCGGAAUUAUUGGGCGUAAAGAGCUCGUAGGCGGUUUGUCGCGUCUGUCGUGAAAGUCCGGGGCUUAACCCCGGAUCUGCGGUGGGUACGGGCAGACUAGAGUGCAGUAGGGGAGACUGGAAAUUCCUGGUGUAGCGGUGGAAUGCGCAGAUAUCAGGAGGAACACCGAUGGCGAAGGCAGGUCUCUGGGCUGUAACUGACGCUGAGGAGCGAAAGCAUGGGGAGCGAACAGGAUUAGAUACCCUGGUAGUCCAUGCCGUAAACGUUGGGCACUAGGUGUGGGGACCAUUUCCACGGUUUCCGCGCCGCAGCUAACGCAUUAAGUGCCCCGCCUGGGGAGUACGGCCGCAAGGCUAAAACUCAAAGGAAUUGACGGGGGCCCGCACAAGCGGCGGAGCAUGCGGAUUAAUUCGAUGCAACGCGAAGAACCUUACCAAGGCUUGACAUGUUCUCGAUCGCCGUAGAGAUACGGUUUCCCCUUUGGGGCGGGUUCACAGGUGGUGCAUGGUUGUCGUCAGCUCGUGUCGUGAGAUGUUGGGUUAAGUCCCGCAACGAGCGCAACCCUCGUUCCAUGUUGCCAGCACGUAAUGGUGGGGACUCAUGGGAGACUGCCGGGGUCAACUCGGAGGAAGGUGAGGACGACGUCAAAUCAUCAUGCCCCUUAUGUCUUGGGCUUCACGCAUGCUACAAUGGCCGGUACAAUGGGUUGCGAUACUGUGAGGUGGAGCUAAUCCCAAAAAGCCGGUCUCAGUUCGGAUUGGGGUCUGCAACUCGACCCCAUGAAGUCGGAGUCGUUAGUAAUCGCAGAUCAGCAACGCUGCGGUGAAUACGUUCCCGGGCCUUGUACACACCGCCCGUCAAGUCACGAAAGUCGGUAACACCCGA
rnacentral:rRNA from 1 species